rnacentral:misc_RNA from 1 species
UCCGGUUUGUCACCGGCGGUCUCCUUAGAGUUCCCACCAUUACGUGCUGGCAACUAAGGACAAGGGUUGCGCUCGUUGCGGGACUUAACCCAACAUCUCACGACACGAGCUGACGACAGCCAUGCAGCACCUGUGUUCGAGUUCCCGAAGGCACCAAUCCAUCUCUGGAAAGUUCUCGACAUGUCAAGGCCAGGUAAGGUUCUUCGCGUUGCAUCGAAUUAAGCAACGCGCUCAUGUGAGACUGCCGGAGAAACUCCGGAGGAAGGUGGGGAUGACGUUGGUCAGUCAA